CCUACGGGAGGCAGCAGUGGGGAAUAUUGGACAAUGGGCGAAAGCCUGAUCCAGCCAUGCCGCGUGUGUGAAGAAGGUCUUCGGAUUGUAAAGCACUUUAAGUUGGGAGGAAGGGUUGUAACCUAAUACGUUGCAAUUUUGACGUUACCGACAGAAUAAGCACCGGCUAACUCUGUGCCAGCAGCCGCGGUAAU
rnacentral:rRNA from 1 species